rnacentral:misc_RNA from 1 species
UCGUAACAAGGUUUCCGUAGGUGAACCUGCGGAAGGAUCAUUACUGUGAUUUAGUACUACACUGCGUGAGCGGAACGAAAACAACAACACCUAAAAUGUGGAAUAUAGCAUAUAGUCGACAAGAGAAAUCUACGAAAAACAAACAAAACUUUCAACAACGGAUCUCUUGGUUCUCGCAUCGAUGAAGAGCGCAGCGAAAUGCGAUACCUAGUGUGAAUUGCAGCCAUCGUGAAUCAUCGAGUUCUUGAACGCACAUUGCGCCCCUCGGCAUUCCGGGGGGCAUGCCUGUUUGAGCGUCGUUUCCAUCUUGCGCGUGCGCAGAGUUGGGGGAGCGGAGCGGACGACGUGUAAAGAGCGUCGGAGCUGCGACUCGCCUGAAAGGGAGCGAAGCUGGCCGAGCGAACUAGACUUUUUUUCAGGGACGCUUGGCGGCCGAGAGCGAGUGUUGCGAGACAACAAAAAGCUCGACCUCAAAUCAGGUAGGAAUACCCGCUGAACUUAAGCAUAUCA